AGCCGGAGGUAGGGUCCAGCGGC
rnacentral:snRNA from 1 species